rnacentral:rRNA from 1 species
CAGUAGCCGCGGUAAUACGGAGGGAGCUAGCGUUGUUCGGAAUUACUGGGCGUAAAGCGCGCGUAGGCGGUUACUCAAGUCAGAAGUGAAAGCCCGGGGCUCAACCCCGGAACUGCCUUUGAAACUAGGUGACUAGAAUCUUGGAGAGGUCAGUGGAAUUCCGAGUGUAGAGGUGAAAUUCGUAGAUAUUCGGAAGAGCACCAGUGGCGAAGGCGACUGACUGGACAAGUAUUGACGCUGAGGUGCGAAAGCGUGGGGAGCAAACAGGAUUAGAUACCCGAGUAGUCCCUGUCUCUUAUAC